rnacentral:rRNA from 1 species
ACAUGAAGCCGGAAUCGCUAGUAAUCGCGGAUCAGAAUGCCGCGGUGAAUACGUUCCCGGGUCUUGUACACACCGCCCGUCACACCAUGGGAGUUGGAAAUGCCCGAAGUCAGUGGCCAACCGGAAGGGGGAGCUGCCGAAGGCAGGUUCGAUGACUGGGGUGAAGUCGUAACAAGGUAAC